AUUGAACGCUGGCGGCAGGCCUAACACAUGCAAGUCGAGCGGCAGCGGAAAGUAGCUUGCUACUUUGCCGGCGAGCGGCGGACGGGUGAGUAAUGUCUGGGAAACUGCCUGAUGGAGGGGGAUAACUACUGGAAACGGUAGCUAAUACCGCAUAACGUCGCAAGACCAAAGAGGGGGACCUUCGGGCCUCUUGCCAUCAGAUGUGCCCAGAUGGGAUUAGCUAGUAGGUGGGGUAAUGGCUCACCUAGGCGACGAUCCCUAGCUGGUCUGAGAGGAUGACCAGCCACACUGGAACUGAGACACGGUCCAGACUCCUACGGGAGGCAGCAGUGGGGAAUAUUGCACAAUGGGCGCAAGCCUGAUGCAGCCAUGCCGCGUGUAUGAAGAAGGCCUUCGGGUUGUAAAGUACUUUCAGCGGGGAGGAAGGUGUUGAGGUUAAUAACCUCAGCAAUUGACGUUACCCGCAGAAGAAGCACCGGCUAACUCCGUGCCAGCAGCCGCAGUAA
rnacentral:rRNA from 1 species